rnacentral:tRNA from 1 species
UAGCUCAAUAGGUAGAGCAUGAGACUCUCAAUCUUAGGGUCAUGGGUUCAUGCCCCAC